GUCUGGAAUCAGGAGGCCUGGUUCUAGCCCAAGCACAGUCUCCAGCUUAAGGAAUGACCUUAAGCAAGCACUUCUUCCCUCAGGGCAACAUUUAAAAAAAUAAGAAGAUUGGAUUGAUCAACAUUUUACUGCCUGUAUUUCACAGGACAUUCUCCUUUUAAUAUAUUUGCUUGAACCUUCUUGAAAACAGGACUCCACGGACAAAUAAGGGUCUGGCUCUAUUGCCCAGGUUGGAGUGCAGCGGUGUGAUCUUGGCUCACUGCAACCUCUACCUCCGGGGCUCAAGCAAUCCUCCUAUCUCAGCCUUCCAAGUAGCUGGGACUAUAGGAGAGAGCCACCAUGUCAUGACAACACAUGUCAUGAGAAAGCCCUGAGGAGAAGUCCCUGUGGGGAGAAACUGAGACCUGCCACCAACAACUAGAAUCGCCUUGCCAGCCAUGUCUAACACCAGCAAUAUUUACACACCGAAGGCACGAGUAUGGCCAUUUGGGGGGCUGUGAUAUUGUUAUUGAGGAGUUUUCCAGAGAUAACUAGACAAGAGCUAGAAAACAAUGGAAGGAACUUUAGAAGCUCACAGGAUAAUCCGGCAUUGUUCACCCUGUGUAAAGGCUCUAUGGUGGAUCCAUCAGGCUAUCAGUCAGGUGUGGAAAGGGAAGAUCUCAGUUUCAAUGGAGCAUUGGAUUUACACAAGUCAAGAGGCAAAAAGUGGGCUUUGCUGAAGACUGAUGCUAAAGCUGAAUUCUGGACAAUGAGUAGCAAUGAGCCAUGUAAAGAAAAGGAAGUGAGUAGGUCCUGAGGCAAAACAGAGUUUGCCACGUUUGAGGAACUGUGAGAGAACUGUUGUUCCCAGUGGGAGAACACUAAGAAUGAAAUUGGCUCAAAAUGAGGCUGGAGAUGUAGGCUUAGAUUACAUAGGUUGGCCAGCAUAGGAAUUUUAGAUUUCAUUUUAAAAAUCAAUGGGGAAUCAUUAAAUUGCUUUAAGUUAGAGAGGAGGAAUAGCUGCAGAGCAAAUUUCCAUUUUUUGAAGAUUAUUUUAUGGGUAAGACCUCCAGAAUAGCCACCACCAUCCCCCCAUCACCAUAUCCCCCCACCAUCUCCCCCCACCAUACUCCCACCACAUUCCCCCCAUAUCCCCCACCACCACAACAUCCCCACCACCACCACAUACCCCCCCCACCACAUCCUCCCAACCACAUCCCCCCAUCACCACAUCCCCCCCCACAUCCCCCCCACCACAUCCCCCUCGACCACCACCACAUCCCCACCACCACCACAUCCCCCCACCACCUCCACAUCCCCCCCACCACCUCCACAUCCCCCCCACCACCACAUCCCCCCACCACCUCCACAUCCCCCCCACCACCUCCACAUCCCCCCCACCACCUCCACAUCACCCCCACCACCACAUAACCCCCCACCACCACAUCCCCCCUAGCACCACCACCACAUCCCCCACCACCACCACCACAUCCCCCACCACCACCACCACAUCCCCCCCACACCACAUCCCCCACCACCACCACAUCCCCCCCCCACCACAUCCCCACCCCACCACCAUAUCCCUGAUACCACCACCAUCCCUGGAUCAUGGAAGCUGUAUUCUAGGCAGGCACAUCCGAGAUGACCAGGGUACUCUUUCUCCACCCAGCCCUCAGUCAUAGGAUAGAAACUACCUCAGGCAUGGCAAGCUGCAAACACUGGCAGUCCAAUAGCUCUCUGCCCACAUUCCAUGUGCUCUUAGGAGAGUUUCCAUGCCAGGAAGGUCAAGCCAAGUAGACAAGGGAUUACCAUCCACCCACCCCAACCCUAUUCAUAGAGCAAGGGUGUCACAUCGAUAAGUAGGUCUCCACCCCCAACUCCAGUGCAUAGCACAGGGUCUCUGCCCAGAGGAGAGGCAGGCCAUGAGAUGAAGAGCUCUGUGGCUCUGCCUGAGGGGACCAGCUGUUUGGAACACAGAGUGGAGAAUUCCAGGCCUAAGAAUGCUGUGCAACAUGGACAACAUGGGGAAAACCCAGCUCUAAAAAUAAAUAAAUAAAUAAAUAAAUA